UACGUAGGCGGCAAGCGUUGUCCGGAUUUACUGGGUGUAAAGGGCGUGUAGCCGGGCUGACAAGUCAGAUGUGAAAUCCGGGGGCUCAACCCCCGAACUGCAUUUGAAACUGUUGGUCUUGAGUAUCGGAGAGGCAGGCGGAAUUCCUAGUGUAGCGGUGAAAUGCGUAGAUAUUAGGAGGAACACCAGUGGCGAAGGCGGCCUGCUGGACGACAACUGACGGUGAGGCGCGAAAGCGUGGGGAGCAAACAGG
rnacentral:rRNA from 1 species